rnacentral:rRNA from 1 species
GUCGAGCGACGCACGCCGGAGGGGUAACCCAUCGGCAUGACGGAGCGGCGAACGGGUGAGUAACACGUGAGCAACCUGCCCCACAGAUCGGGAUAGCCCAGGGAAACCUGGAUUAAUACCGGAUGCCCUCGGAGGAUCGCAUGUUCCAUCGAGGAAACGCAUCGUGCUGUGGGAUGGGCUCGCGGCUUAUCAGCUAGUUGGUGGGGUAACGGCCUACCAAGGCAUCGACGAGUAGCUGGUCUGAGAGGACGAUCAGCCACACUGGGACUGAGACACGGCCCAGACUCCUACGGGAGGCAGCAGCAGGGAAUUUUGCGCAAUGGACGAAAGUCUGACGCAGCAACGCCGCGUGGGGGAUGAAGGCCUUCGGGUUGUAACCCCUUUCGGAGGGAAGAACUGACGGUCCCCCAGAAGAACACCGGCCAACUACGUGCCAGCAGCCGCGGUAAUACGUAGGGUGCGAGCGUUAUCCGGAAUCAUUGGGCGUAAGAGCUCGUAGGCGGUUCAGCAAGUCGGCUGUGAUAGUCCGAGGCUCACCUCGGAAUUGCAGUCGAUACUGCUGUGACUCGAGUCCGGUAGAGGAGAACGGAAUUCCGGUGUACGGUGGAUGCGCAGAUAUCGGGAGGACACCAGUAGCGAGGCGGUCUCUGGCCGGCAUGACCUCAGAGCAAAACCUGGGGAGCCCACAGGAUAGAUACCCUGUAGUCCCGCUGUAACGUUGGAACUAGUGUGGGGGUCUAUCACGACUGCGUGCCGAACUACGCAUGAGUUCCCGCCUGGGAGUCCGCCCCAGGUUAACUCAAUGCAUUGACGG